ACUCAAAUGAAUUGACGGGGGCCCGCACAAGCAGCGGAGCAUGUGGUUUAAUUCGAAGCAACGCGAAGAACCUUACCAAGGCUUGACAUCCCACUAAAGCUAUGGAAACAUAGUGUGCCUUCGGGCGAGUGGAGACAGGUGGUGCAUGGUUGUCGUCAGCUCGUGUCGUGAGAUGUUGGGUUAAGUCCCGCAACGAGCGCAACCCCUAUUGCUAGUUGCCAGCACGUAAAGGUGGGGACUCUAGUGAGACCGCCGGGGACAACUCGGAGGAAGGUGGGGACGACGUCAAAUCAUCAUGCCCCUUAUGUCUUGGGCUACACACGUGCUACAAUGGCCACUACAGAGGGCCGCAAAGCCGCAAGGCCAAGCCAAUCUCAGAAAAGUGGUCUCAGUUCGGAUUGUGGGCUGCAACCCGCCCACAUGAAGUCGGAGUUGCUAGUAAUCGCGAAUCAGAAUGUCGCGGUGAAUACGUUCCCGGGCCUUGUACACACCGCCCGU
rnacentral:rRNA from 1 species